rnacentral:rRNA from 1 species
GACGAACGCUGGCGGCGUGCUUAACACAUGCAAGUCGAACGGAAAGGCCCUGCUUGCAGGGUACUCGAGUGGCGAACGGGUGAGUAACACGUGGGUGAUCUGCCCUGCACUACGGGAUAAGCCUGGGAAACUGGGUCUAAUACCGGAUAGUAGCCAUUUUUAGUGUGAUGGUUGGAAAGUUUUUUCGGUGUAGGAUGAGCUCGCGGCCUAUCAGCUUGUUGGUGGGGUAAUGGCCUACCAAGGCGGCGACGGGUAGCCGGCCUGAGAGGGUGGACGGCCACAUUGGGACUGAGAUACGGCCCGGACUCCUACGGGAGGCAGCAGUGGGGAAUAUUGCACAAUGGGCGCAAGCCUGAUGCAGCGACGCCGCGUGGGGGAUGACGGCCUUCGGGUUGUAAACUCCUUUCGCUAGGGACGAAGCUUUUUGUGACGGUACCUAGAGAAGAAGCACCGGCUAACUACGUG